rnacentral:rRNA from 1 species
GAGUUUGAUCCUGGCUCAGGAUGAACGCUAGCUACAGGCUUAACACAUGCAAGUCGAGGGGAAACGGCAUUUUAGCUUGCUAAGAUGGACGUCGACCGGCGAAUGGGUGAGUAACGCGUAUCCAACCUUCCGUUAAGUAGGGAAUAGCCUUGCGAAAGUAAGAUUAAUGCCCUAUGUGGUGUUUUGAGGACAUCUGAAGAGCACCAAAGGUUCACCGCUUAACGAUGGGGAUGCGUCUGAUUAGGUUGUUGGCGGGCAACGGCCCACCAAGCCUACGAUCAGUAGGGGUUCUGAGAGGAAGGUCCCCCACAUUGGAACUGAGACACGGUCCAAACUCCUACGGGAGGCAGCAGUGAGGAAUAUUGGUCAAUGGGCGCGAGCCUGAACCAGCCAAGUAGCGUGCGGGAUGAAGGCCCUAUGGGUUGUAAACCGCUUUUUCAGGGGGAUAAAGUGAGUGACGUGUCAUUCAUUCAGGUACCCUGCGAAUAAGGACCGGCUAAUUCCGUGCCAGCAGCCGCGGUAAUACGGAAGGUCCGGGCGUUAUCCGGAUUUAUUGGGUUUAAAGGGAGCACAGGCCGGCUGUCAAGCGUGUUGUGAAAUGUAGGGGCUCAACCUCUGACUUGCAGCGCGAACUGACGGUCUUGAGUACGCACAACGUUGGCGGAAUUUGUCGUGUAGCGGUGAAAUGCUUAGAUAUGACGAAGAACUCCGAUUGCGAAGGCAGCUGACGGGAGCGCCACUGACGCUUAAGCUCGAAAGUGCGGGUAUCGAACAGGAUUAGAUACCCUGGUAGUCCGCACGGUAAACGAUGGAUGCCCGCUGUUUGCACCUGGUGUAAGCGGCUAAGUGAAAACGUUAAGCAUCCCACCUGGGGAGUACGCCGGCAACDVNAAACUCAAAGGAAUUGACGGGGGCCCGCACAAGCGGAGGAACAUGUGGUUUAAUUCGAUGAUACGCGAGGAACCUUACCCGGGCUUGAAUUGCAGAUGAAGGAUCCAGAGAUGGUGANCCCUCGGGCAUCUGUGAAGGUGCUGCAUGUUUCCUCACUCU